rnacentral:rRNA from 1 species
AUGGGAGGGCAUUUCGGUUUCCCAGUGACUUAUCGUCGCAUCCGCGGGCUGUUUGCAUGGCCCAAAAUGAAGACACAUGUUCAACAAUACGUGCGCUGCUGUCAGGUAUGUCAACAAGCAAAACCAGAUAGAUCAGCUUCCCCGGAUCUCCUGAUGCCUCUACCAAUCCCUCGCGAGUCUUGGGAUCUCAUUACCAUGGAUUUUGUGGACGGACUGCCGCAAUCAGGGCAGUUCAACUGCCUGCGGAUGGUCGUGGAUAAGCGCACGAGGUUUGCCCAUUUUCUUCCUCUGGCGCACCCCUAUACUGCUGCCAAAGUGGUUGUUCUGUAUAUGCAACAAUUAUACAAGCUGCACGGAUUCCCUGGAGCCAUUGUGUCUGACCGAGACCCGGUGUUUACCAGCCAUUUUUGGCGAGAGUUGUUCAAGUAUGCAGGAACGGAGCUGCGCAUGAGCACGGCGAAUCACCCACAAACAGAUGGUCAAACGGAGAGAGUCAACCAGUGCAUCAAGACCUACCUGAGGUGUUUCGUUCAAGCAUGUCCCAAGAAAUGGAGCUUUUGGAUACCAUUGGCACAGUUUUGGUAUAAUUCAUCAUACCACUCUGCAAUAGGCAUGACUCCUUUCAAGGCAAUGUUCGGGUGGGAGCCCAGGCACUGGGGAAUCAUGGCGACCACUUCCUGCACGGUAUCGGCGCUGCAGUCCUGGCUUGAAGAGCGCAAGGUGAUGCAAGGGGUGAUCAUCGGCUAG